GUCCCGUAACGAGCGCAACCCUUGUCCUUAGUUACCAGCACGGUUAUGGUGGGCGACUCUAAGGAGACUGCCGGUGACAAACCGGAGGAAGGUGGGGAUGACGUCAAGUCAUCAUGGCCCUUACGGCCUGGGCUACACACGUGCUACAAUGGUCGGUACAAAGGGUUGCCAAGCCGCGAGGUGGAGCGUAAUCCCAUAAAACCGAUCGUAGUCCGGAUCGCAGUCUGCAACUCGACUGCGUGAAGUCGGAAUCGCUAGUAAUCGUGAAUCAGAAUGUCACGGUGAAUACGUUCCCGGGCCUU
rnacentral:rRNA from 1 species